UUAGAGUUUGAUCCUGGCUCAGGAUGAACGCUAGCGGCAGGCCUAACACAUGCAAGUCGAGGGGUAACGAUGGAGCUUGCUCCAGGCGACGACCGGCGCACGGGUGAGUAACGCGUUUGCAACCUACCUCUAACUGGAAGAUAGCCCGAAGAAAUUCGGAUUAAUAUUCCAUAACACUAUGAUUUGGCAUCUUUUUAUAGUUAAAGUUUCGACGGUUAGAGAUGGGCAUGCGUGACAUUAGCUAGUUGGUGAGGUAACGGCUCACCAAGGCCACGAUGUCUAGGGGGUCUGAGAGGAUGGUCCCCCACACUGGUACUGAGACACGGACCAGACUCCUACGGGAGGCAGCAGUGAGGAAUAUUGGUCAAUGGGCGAAAGCCUGAACCAGCCAUGCCGCGUGAAGGAUGACGGCCCUACGGGUUGUAAACUUCUUUUGUUUGAGAAGAAACCUCCCUACGUGUAGGGGGCUGACGGUAUCGAACGAAUAAGCAUCGGCUAACUCCGUGCCAGCAGCCGCGGUAAUACGGAGGAUGCAAGCGUUAUCCGGAUUCAUUGGGUUUAAAGGGUACGCAGGCGGAAAACUAAGUCAGUGGUGAAAUCCUGCAGCUUAACUGUAGAACUGUCAUUGAUACUGGUUUUCUUGGAUUCAGUUGAGGUAGGCGGAAUGUGUAAUGUAGCGGUGAAAUGCUUAGAUAUUACACAGAACACCGAUUGCGAAGGCAGCUUACUAAACUGCGAUUGACGCUGAGGUACGAAAGCGUGGGUAGCAAACAGGAUUAGAUACCCUGGUAGUCCACGCCGUAAACUAUGAUCACUCGUUGUUGGCAACACAUCGUCAGCGAC
rnacentral:rRNA from 1 species